rnacentral:lncRNA from 1 species
GGCGGCGUCGACAACAACAACAAUGGUGGUGGAAGUUGCUUGCUCCUCAUGGAGGAGGAGUGGCUCGCUCGCUACAAGGACCGCAACGGCACCGGCAAGAAGAAGAGCACUUUCGACAUACGAAAGGUGCGCUGCUACAAUUGUCAAGACUACGAGCAUUUCUCUAGAGAUUGUCCCAAGCCAAGGAAGGAGCAGGCGCAUCUUGCCGUUGCCGACGACGACUACGAGCCGGCGCUGCUUUGAAGGUCUGCAUGGAGGUUCAAAUAAAUGCCAACAAGGUUAAGGGGGUGAUUGUUGGAGUUAACCUUGUUGUUUAGAGUUUUUUCAUCAUGUUCAUUUAUUUGUGUCGUUCAGGUAGCAAGCUGUGGCAGCACACAUGCAGAGAUGUGUUCACGUGUGUGC